CCAACCUUGGAGUGAGACAUUGGGGGAAGGGCCUCUUCCUUGUGGGGGUCUCAGUUUCUCCCUCCGUGAAAUGGGCAGGUUUGAUUGGAGCUGGAGAAUCUCUUCCAAAUGCCAGGGUCAUGCAGUCCUGUGGAGCCUUAGCAGGGAGGGAUGAAGGGUGAGAUCGUGGCCUCGGCGGUGAUGGGAGGGGUGGCUGUGGCAGGAGGCUGAGUCAGAGGCACUGUCAGGGCUGAGAGCAAGGGAACAGACCUGCCUCUAGUGCCCAGUGACUUGCAAGCCACAGGAGGGGAGCAGCCUGUGUCAUCAGCGAGCCUGUAAACACCCUCCAAGGACAGCAAGGCCCCUGCUUGUCUUGGAUCCGACCACAGGCCCAUCCCAGAGAUUUGGGGCCAGAGACCGGUGAAUUUCUCGAACACGCAAUUCUCUUCCUGCCUCUCCAGGACUGUGCACAGGCUGUUCCCUCCACCUGGAAUGUUCUCUCCCUUUCUCCAGGCUUCACCAAGAUAACGCUUCCGGCUGGUUCCAAUUUUGGCUCAAGGAUCACCUCCUUCUCUGUUCUUCCAGCAAAGGCAGACGAGAAGGCUGGCGCUGUGGCCUCCACCUUGGAUCAUGAGGAGGGUCACACCCUAAGGACGGCAGAGUUGUGACCAGGAAGGAGCCUGGGACAGCUUUGUGGAGUCUUCAAACCAGCCCUGAACUGCCUACAUCUGGACUUCAUUCACACGAGAGAAAAAUAAACACUUUUGUUUAUUGUUGAUUUUUAAAAUUCAAUUUAUUAUAUGUUAUUUUGACUAUAUUUGUAUGUCCUAACAGCAUGCUCUACUGCAAAACGUCAGCUAGAGUACAUGCUGCAUCUUUUUAUCUUAAAAUGUGCUCGAUAUGUCUUUAUCUACUUUGUCCAGAGGGUUGUUUUUUUUAAGUGUAUUUAUUUAUUUUGAGAGGGCCAGAGGCAGUGCGAGUGGGGGAGGGGCAGAGAGAGAGGGAGACAGAGGGUUCGAAGCAGGCUCCACACCAUCAGCACAGAGCCGGACGUGGGGCUCGAACUCACGAACCGUGAGAUCGCGACCUGAGCCGAAACCAAGAGUUGGACGCUGAACCGACUGAGCCACCCAG